rfam:Otolemur garnettii contig133135, whole genome shotgun sequence.
GCUGGGUGCUGUUGUGGCAGGUGACUGUCAUCCCACCUACUCAAGAUGCUGAGGUGGGAGGAUCGCUCGAUUCCAGGAGUUCUGGGCUAGAGUGCUCUGUGCUGAUCUGGUGUCCAUACUAGUUCAGCAUCAAUAUGGUGACCUCUUAGGAGUGAGGGACCACCAGGUUGCCUAAGGUGGGGUGAACUGGCCCAGGUUGGAAAUGGAGCAGGUCAAAACUCCUGUGCUGAUUAGUAGUGGGGUCAUGCCUGUGAAUUUCUAUUGCUAGCAAGCCUGGACAACCCAGCAAAAGUGCCUGUCUCUA